AGAGUUUGAUCAUGGCUCAGGACGAACGCUGGCGGCGUGCCCCAAUACAUGCAAGUAGAACGCUGAAGAGAGGAGCUUGCUCUUCUUGGAUGAGUUGCGAACGGGUGAGUAACGCGUAGGUAACCUGCCUUGUAGCGGGGGAUAACUAUUGGAAACGAUAGCUAAUACCGCAUUAACAAUGGAUGACACAUGUCAUUUAUUUGAAAGGGGCAAUUGCUCCACUACAAGAUGGACCUGCGUUGUAUUAGCUAGUAGGUGAGGUAAUGGCUCACCUAGGCGACGAUACAUAGCCGACCUGAGAGGGUGAUCGGCCACACUGGGACUGAGACACGGCCCAGACUCCUACGGGAGGCAGCAGUAGGGCAUCUUCGGCAAUGGGGGCAACCCUGACCGAGCAACGCCGCGUGAGUGAAGAAGGUUUUCGGAUCGUAAAGCUCUGUUGUAAGUCAAGAACGGGUGUGAGAGUGGAAAGUUCACACUGUGACGGUAGCUUACCAGAAAGGGACGGCUAACUACGUGCCAGCAGCCGCGGUAAUACGUAGGUCCCGAGCGUUGUCCGGAUUUAUUGGGCGUAAAGCGAGCGCAGGCGGUUUGAUAAGUCUGAAGUUAAAGGCUGUGGCUCAACCAUAGUUCGCUUUGGAAACUGUCAAACUUGAGUGCAGAAGGGGAGAGUGGAAUUCCAUGUGUAGCGGUGAAAUGCGUAGAUAUAUGGAGGAACACCGGUGGCGAAAGCGGCUCUCUGGUCUGUAACUGACGCUGAGGCUCGAAAGCGUGGGGAGCGAACAGGAUUAGAUACCCUGGUAGUCCACGCCGUAAACGAUGAGUGCUAGGUGUUGGAUCCUUUCCGGGAUUCAGUGCCGCAGCU
rnacentral:rRNA from 1 species